rnacentral:rRNA from 1 species
AACGCGAAGAACCUUACCAGGUCUUGACAUCUAGUGCAAUCUGUAGAGAUACGGAGUUCCCUUCGGGGACGCUAAGACAGGUGGUGCAUGGCUGUCGUCAGCUCGUGUCGUGAGAUGUUGGGUUAAGUCCCGCAACGAGCGCAACCCUUGUUAUUAGUUGCCAGCAUUAAGUUGGGCACUCUAAUGAGACUGCCGGUGACAAACCGGAGGAAGGUGGGGAUGACGUCAAGUCAUCAUGCCCCUUAUGACCUGGGCUACACACGUGCUACAAUGGGCAGUACAACGAGAAGCAAGCCUGCGAAGGCAAGCGAAUCUCUGAAAGCUGUUCUCGGUUCGGACUGCAGUCUGCAACUCGACUGCACGAAGCUGGAAUCGCUAGUAAUCGCGGAUCAGCACGCCGCGGUGAAUACGUUCCCGGGCCUGUACACACCG